AGUGAACGCUGGCGGCGUGCCUAAUACAUGCAAGUCGAACGGAGUGGCGCACGGGUGUGUAAUGUAUAGCUAAUCUCCCCUACACUAGAGGACAACAGUUGGAAACGACUGCUAAUACACUAUAGUGUAGGAUGAGGCUAUAUUGUAUAAGCUAGUUGGUGAGGUAAUGGCCCACCAAGGCUAUGACGCAUAACUUGUGUGAGAGGAUGAUCAGUCACACUGGAGCGAAGACACGGUCGAGAAUCUUGCGGGAGGGAGGAGUAGGGAAUAUUGCUAAAUGGGGGAAGCCCUGAAGCAGCAACGCCGCGUGGAGGAUGACACUUUUCAGAGCGUAAACUCCGUUUGUUAGGGAAGCGGAACCUAACAAAUAAGCACCGGCUAACUCCGUGCCGGCGGCGCGGUAAUAC
rnacentral:rRNA from 1 species